GAUGAACGCUGGCGGCGUGCCUAAUACAUGCAAGUCGAGCGAACAGACGAGGAUCUUGCUCCUCUGACGUUAGCGGCGGACGGGUGAGUAACACGUGGAUAACCUACCUAUAAGACUGGUAUAACUUCGGGAAACCGGAGCUAAUACCGGAUAAUAUAUUGAACCGCAUGGUUCAAUAGUGAAAUACGGUUUUUCUGUCACUUAUAGAUUGAUCCUCGCCGCAUUAGCUAGUUGGUAAGGUAACGGCUUACCAAGGCAACGAUGCGUAGCCGACCUGAGAGGGUGAUCGGCCACACGGGAACUGAGACACGGUCCAGACUCCUACGGGAGGCAGCAGUAGGGAAUCUUCCGCAAUGGGCGAAAGCAGGACGGAGCAACGCCGCGUGAGUGAUGAAGGUCUUCGGAUCGUAAAACUCUGUUAUUAGGGAAGAACAAAUGUGUAAGUAAAUAUGCACGUCUUGACGGUACCUAAACAGAAAGCCACGGCUAACUACGUG
rnacentral:rRNA from 1 species